rnacentral:rRNA from 1 species
UACCGAUUGAAUGGUUUAGUGAGGCCUUCUGACUGGCGCCGAUACUCUGGCAACAGAGCGCCGGAUGCCGGAAAGUUGGUCAAACUUGAUCAUUUAGAGGAAGUAAAAGUCGUAACAAGGUUUCCGUAGGUGAACCUGCGGAAGGAUCAUUACCGAUGAUAUUCGUCCAACAACUACACAGUUGUACCUUGUGAACCGUACCAAACUAUUCAGGGGUCGGCUUGUCCGUUAAAUGGUCGUCGGACGCGAGAGAUUGCGGGCGGUUGAACGGGCCCGCACGCGUUUUGUUUUUUAUAAACAUAUGUGUACCUGUCUGACCAAACGUUGCGGGCGGCCCAAGGGUCGGUCGCGGCAAUUUGAUUUUGAACGCAAAUGGCGCUCUUGGGUUCUCCCAGGAGCAUGUCUGUCUGAGUGUCGGAUAUCAUCCAACGCACGCCAGCGUGCGGAAUUGAGGCGUCACGGUCCGUACUGCACGGACCGUGUCCCUUGAAAGUCAGAGAGACUCGCCGCGUCGCGGGAAGAUUCCCCGUGCACACCAGCGGAGGCUAAAAUGUCUUUUGCCCUUCGCGUGCCGGGAAGUCGCCGCGUGCGGCGGUCGUCGUCGGGCGAACUUUAAUUAUCUUGACCUCAGAUCAGGCAAGGCUACCCGCUGAAUUUAAGCAUAUUAAUAAGCGGAGGAAAAGAAACUAACAAGGAUUCCCUCAGUAACGGCGAGUGAAGCGGGACCAGCUCAAAUUUGAAAUCUCCGAUGCCUGCAUCGGCGAGUUGUAGUUGCGAGAAGCACUUUCUAGGUGGAUCGGUCGUGCCUAAGUUGCUUGGAACAAGCACGUCGCAGAGGGUGACAACCC